AUCACCAGGAGCAACAAAGUCAAUUUCAGCCUCUUCCUCUUCUCCUAAUCCUUGUUGUUCUUGUUCUAAAAUUGUGGUUGUGGCGAUGUUGAAGCAACAUAUAGCAAGCAAUACCAACCAAGUUAGGCAAGCAAGACAAUACAGUCUCAGACAGCUUAGGCAAGCAAGACAAUACCAACAAGGAAGAGCAGAGGAGCCAGGACUUUGUCUUCGUGCACAACUGGGGACUGCAGGUGAUGGAGCGGCGCUGCUGCGCUCACACGGCGUGGACGGCAAGCUGCGUAGGUGAUGCGGGCGCGGGGGCGUGUGACGUGGUUGGCCUAGGGAUUGAGGAGUUGGAGCAGGACAGCCAGAGUUGCGUCUGGUGGUGCUAGCAGCGGCGGUAGCAUGGGAAAGAAAGAGAAAACAGCUACACAUAUGGAUCAUUGGAAACCACUUCAGCAUCUAGGCGACGGGGCAGCGCGGCCUGGGAGCCUGUGCCUUAGCGUCGUCUAAGUCAGGUGCCCGCCUAGCUGGGUGUGGUGAGGCAGCAGACCAUGGCGUCUGUUGCUUGCCGCUUGGACGCUUAGUCGGCGCCUAGGUGACGCCAUGGCAUCAGUGUGAAUGGUGCUACUAUGCAAACCAUUGUAGGAUUUGAUGAUUUUACUUGUAAGUGGAAGCAGACAGAACGGGAACUUUUUGAGAGAAAAAUAUUGACAAGAAAACAAUAAUAACUGUGUCGGGGCAUAUUCUUGUGGACAUACUGAGCUGAAGGAUUCUUUGUUUCAUUAGAUCCUGGAGUUGAGAACACACAUUUCUCAAAGCAGUUUGAGUUAAGUUGAGGAAGCAUCUGAAUUGUAUACUGUAGAAAUGGGGAACCUAGCCUGUACUAAAUGGAUCAUGUGUAGUGUCGUAACUAGCUGGUGUUUAGAGUCUUCCAGGGUCAAUUAUCUUGUAUGAAUUGUCCUAUAUGUAUUAGUUUAUGUACUUAAGAUAUUCUGUGUGUAAAUUAUCCAUGAUAGGAUCAUUUAAAUUGGGCAGUGUUCCUUUUGCAUGUAGCAUGCAUUGCACUUUUCUGCUGUGUGGGACCUUCAUAUCUGCAUAUUUAUAGCUUUGGAUGCUGACUGUUGUGGUUUCAGAAUAUGUGUUGCAAGAGAUCACAAAAGCUGGUUUUGUGGAACCUACCCCUAUCCAAUCGCAAGGUUGGCCGAUGGCAUUGAGAGGCCGCGACCUUAUUGGCAUUGCAGAGACAGGAUCAGGGAAAACUCUUGCUUACCUUUUACCUGCCAUUGUUCAUGUGAAUGCGCAGCCUAUUCUUUGUGAGAACUUGUUUCCCCAAUGCUUUUCCUUCUCAACCAUCUUUUGGGAACUCCAGCUAAAAAUUCUGAACACUUACAAUUUUGUUGUUGUUGAAGCCCCUGGCGAUGGUCCAAUUGUCUUGGUGUUAGCUCCUACACGUGAACUUGCUGUUCAGAUACAGCAAGAAGCAACCAAGUUUGGUGCAUCAUCAAAGAUAAAAAGUACUUGCAUAUAUGGUGGUGUGCCAAAAGGUCCACAAGUUCGUGAUCUUCAAAAAGGUUUCUUCUUUCUCCCUCUGCAUAAAGGAAAACUUGUUGUUCCAUAACUAUAUGUCAUAAUUGUACUGUAGUAUACUGUUUGGCUGUGGUUUCUUUUCUGUGUAAUACUAAAUAUCACAAAAUUUCAUUAGAUGCAUGGACGAGGUGUAACUAAGUUUUGGGGGAUGGGAAAUUGACAGCAUUGCGCUAAUCAUAUUAACUUUGUGUUAUUUUUUCUUCCAGGUGUUGAAAUUGUUAUAGCUACACCAGGACGACUAAUUGAUAUGAUUGAAUCACAUCAUACAAACUUGCGAAGGGUCACAUAUCUUGUUUUAGAUGAAGCAGACCGGAUGCUAGACAUGGGAUUUGAACCUCAGAUUAAGAAAAUUGUUUCUCAGGUACGCUUUUGCUGCUACAUGAAAUGUUACUGCCUCUGUCCUGAUUCCUGAAAAGGUUGCAAUUCUAGAAUAAUGCUGUGUUAAAGUUUGACAAAAUUUGUAUAAAAAAUAAUAGUAUUUAUUCGUUAUACAUAUUUGAAGUGAUAUAUGUUGAGGCUGUUUUCUAUAAAGUUAGUCAAAUUGAGGAUAGUUUUAUUUUGACCAGACCUAGAAUUGCAUUCUUUUUAGGACGGAUGUAGUGCAUUUCAUAUUUAUUCUCACCCCUGUUGAAUAUACAUGUAAUUAAAUACCCUGCUAUAUUUUGUCAGUCUGGAUGAAUUUAGUGGUCUACAUUGAUAUGCCAGUUACUUUCAUUAAUCUGUGCAAUAUAAAUUUUGAUUAUUGUUUUACGUGAUGCCAAACCUUAUCUGUUAGUUCAGAUUCGUCCAGAUCGCCAAACACUUUACUGGAGUGCUACCUGGCCGAAGGAAGUUGAGCAGCUAGCAAGGAAUUUCCUUUUUGACCCAUACAAGGUACUUGCUAUAGUCCACCCAACAUUUUGCAGUGCAUCUUUCCAUUUCUACUGUAUGUCAACACUGCUGAAUUUAAUAUGAUGCAGGUCACUAUUGGUUCUGAAGACUUGAAGGCUAAUCAUGCCAUUGUUCAGCAUGUAGAGAUAUUAUCUGAGAGUCAGAAGUAUAACAAGUAGGAUUUCUACAAAAUUUCCCCAUUUCAUACACAUUAUUCAAACAAUGUCUUAGUGAUACUUUUAUUUGUACAAGGCUGGUUAAUCUACUGGAGGAUAUAAUGGAUGGUAGCCGAAUUUUAAUAUUUAUGGACACCAAGAAGGGAUGCGAUCAGACUACUAGACAGCUUCGAAUGGAUGGUUGGCCUGCUUUGUCUAUCCAUGGUGACAAGAGCCAAGCAGAACGGGAUUGGGUCCUUUCUGAAUUUAAGUCAGGGAAAAGUCCUAUUAUGACGGCCACUGAUGUUGCUGCUCGAGGCCUAGGUAUGCCCAACUUUGAGAUGUGAUACAUCUUAUAUUUCCUGAGGAAAUUGAUACACGUUUCUUUCCCUUGGAAAACAGAUGUCAAGGAUGUGAAGUAUGUCAUUAACUAUGACUUUCCGGGGUCACUCGAGGAUUAUGUUCAUCGUAUAGGUCGAACUGGCAGAGCAGGUGCAAAAGGAACAGCGUACACCUUUUUCACUGCAGCUAAUGCCAGAUUUGCCAAGGAACUUAUUAAUAUUCUGGAAGAAGCUGGACAAAAGGUCAGCUCUGAAUUAGCUGCUAUGGGUCGUGGUGCACCUCCUCCAUCUUCAGGUAAGUUUGCUAUUGGAUAUCUGUUUUUUAGUUUCCCAAAUGAAAGUCUUGUUCCUGAAGUGCCAUUGAUUUCUGAAUGAAUUGGAUUUUUUCCCAAUUUUUUGCAGGUUACCGUGAUAGAUAUAGGGGGUAUGGGGGUGGCCGAUCGUGGAGUUGACGUUCAAAUGCUUAGUUGCUGCUAAGAGCAAUGCUUUACGUUUGUUUGUUGAUGGAUAUGUUGUUUUGGCGCACUGAUAAGAGCAAUGCUUUACAUUUUGGCUAGUAUUCGGUAAUGAUGGAUUCACAUACUCUUGGAUAUUGACCUGUCUCGAUGCUAGAAAAGUGGCAUGAUAUCAUGCCUGCAAUAUCAUUAGUUUAUUUUUAGCCAUAGUUUCAGAUUGACAGCAUUGCCCAUAAUUAGCUCACAUCAGAGGUAAGAAUUUGUAGUAAACAUCAUUCCAUCCAUGAUUUGGUGCUCAUUUUUACUCUUCAUUUUGGAUGAUACUCCCUCCAUUUCAAAUUAUAAGACGUUUGACUUUUCUAGAUACACUGUUCUUACUAUUCACUUAGAUACACACUAUGUCUACAUACAUAGUGAAGAUAGUGUAUUUUGAAGAGCCUGAAAGUCUUAUAAUUUGGAAUGGGGAGAGUAGAACAAUGGUGAUAAGUUUGACAUACUGUGUAGUUUUGCAAAACGGAACGUCUUUUGGUCCACAAUUCUUGUCCCCCGUCCUUUCUUUCUGCAUCGUGUUUGUCAGAUCUCACAUGGAAUU
rnacentral:lncRNA from 1 species